AGGGAAUCUUCCACAAUGGACGAAAGUCUGAUGGAGCAACGCCGCGUGAGCGAUGAAGGCCUUCGGGUCGUAAAGCUCUGUUGUCAGGGAAGAACAAGUACCGGAGUAACUGCCGGUACCUUGACGGUACCUGACCAGAAAGCCACGGCUAACUACGUGCCAGCAGCCGCGGUAAUACGUAGGUGGCAAGCGUUGUCCGGAAUUAUUGGGCGUAAAGCGCGCGCAGGCGGCCCUUUAAGUCUGAUGUGAAAGCCCACGGCUCAACCGUGGAGGGUCAUUGGAAACUGGGGGACUUGAGUGCAGAAGAGGAAAGCGGAAUUCCACGUGUAGCGGUGAAAUGCGUAGAGAUGUGGAGGAACACCAGUGGCGAAGGCGGCUUUCUAGUCUGUAACUGACGCUGAGGCGCGAAAGCGUGGGGAGCAAAC
rnacentral:rRNA from 1 species